ensembl:lncRNA
GGGCUUCCCUUGUGGCUCAGCUAGUAAAAAAUCUGUCUGCAGUGUGGGAGACCUGGGUUCAAUCCCUGGGUUGGGAAGAUCCCCUGGAGAAGGGAAAGGCUACCCACUCCAGUAUUCUGGCCUGGAGAAUUCCAUGGACUGUAUAGUUCAUGGGGUCACAGAGUUGGACACACCUAAGCAACUUUCACUUAGAUCCUUCUACCAAUGGUGUAUAAAGCAACCCAUUGCCUCAAAGCAAUGGGAAAGUUUAGAGAGAUUAAAGAUGGAAGGCUAAAUGCUUAGUUUAUGAAACUUGGAAGAUUUGAAAGUCAAACAUAAGGAGCAGAGAAAUUGUUCCAAAAGUAAGGCUGGAGAUGGGGCAGCAAAGAGUACCUGAGUCAUGCCGGAGAAAGGAAAUGAAAGGGACAACAGGCAACACCGAACAAAGGCAGAAGAGACACCAGGAUGGUGAAGGUCAAAGGGCUGGAAGGUUAGAGGUGAUACUUCUGCAUGAAAGGACCGAGGAAGAACAGUGAACUUUCACAGAGUCGCUCAAAAUUGAGGUCUGUGGUUCUGACUUCAGAACUACCCCCAGACCUCAUCAUUACUCAGAGACUGCAAAAGAGGUCUGGGCUAGAUUCAGGUUGGAGACAAACAUCACACACACACACCCAUAUACAAACAGAAGCAGAAUAUAACACACUUCUAAGGUGUUGUGGAUGAUUUCUUUCUAGGAAGGGACUCUGGAAUUAAUUAGAAGCGUUGAGAGGUUUGUUCCCAGGCCAAGGAGAGGACUGUCCCCCAAAUUUUCAAACCAGAAAUGAACUUUAGGAUCCCAGCUUUUAAUAUAUUCUUUGGAUUGUUUUAAUACAUGGAUGUGUAAAAUGAAUUUAAUUUAAUCCAAAAGAAUAGAUUAGAUAGCCUGAUUUAUUCUACUUGAAAUAAAAAUACAUUUUACCAAUUAUCCACAUCUUUGUGAAGCAAAUACCUUCAAAAUCUUAGUUGAGCUUCUCAGAGUACAUAAACUUUCUUAGAGAUUAGCCACAUUUCCUGAUAAUAUCAGGGCGCCUAUAGAUUUUUUUUAAUGUAGAGGUUCUGAUAUUCUCAGUACCGUAAAUUCCAAAUUAUUUCAUUGUAUUCCUCUGAUAUAGUGUAGGGAAAUGUUAUAAUUAUCUCAAAAAAAAAAAUAGAAGUAAAUAUGAACAAAUGGAGUUCUGGAGUUAUUUCCAAGAGAACAUUAACUGCCUGAUGUUUAAGUGCUUUACAUUUCAUGAGUUUAUGAUUUAAAAUUUGAAGCACAUUUAAAGUAGCAAAAAGAGUUCAGUGUACUUUCACCUUAUCAACGGAGUUAUCGGGCUUCUGCUGCCUCUGUUCCACCUAUCCCUGAUUUUCCCUUUUUGGAAGUAUUUGGAAGCAAAAUCCAACUGUUGAGAACUCAGUUCAUACACCUUCUUUGGUGCAAAGUUUUGAAAAUAUGGGCAUUUUCUUUGCAUAGUCACAAUACCAUUAUUACACCCAAUAAUAGUGAAAUUUUCCCCUUUACCUCAUAACCAAACCACAAUCAAAUUUGCCAGUUAUCUCAAAAAAUGUAUAUUUUUACAGUUGGUUAGUUUAAAUAAGAUCCCCAAAUAUCCUUUAUUGCUUGUAAUUACCAUGUCCUGUAAGUCUUUUAUGGUCUAUGCAGUAAUUCCUCUCCAUUUUCCCCCUUCAAGCUACCAACUUGUUGAAAAAGCUAGACCAGUUAUUCUGUAGAGAUAUUUAUUUUUAAAGGGUAAUGUUUAAAGGUUAAAU